UACGUAGGGGGCAAACGUUGCUCGGAAUUACUGGGCGUAAAGGGUGAGUAGGCGGCUGUGCAAGUCAGGGAUGAAAUCCCGCGGCUUAACCGCGGAACUGUCUUUGAAACUGCACGGCUUGAGGACAGUAGAAGAGAAUGGAAUUCCCGGUGGAGCGGUGAAAUGCGUAGAUAUCGGGAGGAACACCUGAGGCGAAAGCGAUUCUCUAUACUGCUCCUGACGCUGAGUCACGAAAGCCAGGGGAGCAAACGGG
rnacentral:rRNA from 1 species